rnacentral:rRNA from 1 species
UUCGUAAGGAGGAGGAAGGUGGGGACGACGUCAAGUCAUCAUGGCCCUUACGCCUAGGGCGACACACGUGCUACAAUGGCAUAUACAAUGAGACGCAAUACCGCGAGGUGGAGCAAAUCUAUAAAAUAUGUCCCAGUUCGGAUUGUUCUCUGCAACUCGAGAGCAUGAAGCCGGAAUCGCUAGUAAUCGCAAAUCAGCCAUGUUGCGGUGAAUACGUUCCCGGGUCUUGUACUCACCGCCCGUCACACCAUGGGAGUUGAUUUCACUCGAAGUGGAAAUACUAAACUAGUUAUCCCCCACAGUGGAAUCAGCGACUGGGGUGAAGUCGUAACAAGGUAACCGUAGGAGAACCUGCGGUUGGAUCACCUCCUUUCUA